AACAGGUCAUGUGUGAUGCAGU
rnacentral:miRNA from 1 species